UACGGAGGGUGCAAGCGUUAUCCGGAUUUACUGGGUUUAAAGGGUGUGUAGGCGGAUUUUUAAGUCAGUGGUGAAAUCUCCGGGCUUAACCCGGAAACUGCCAUUGAUACUAAAGGUCUUGAAUACCGUUGAGGUGGGCAGAAUAUGUCAUGUAGCGGUGAAAUGCAUAGAUAUGACAUAGAAUACCGAUUGCGAAGGCAGCUCACUAACCGGUCAUUGACGCUGAGGCACGAAAGCGUGGGGAUCAAAC
rnacentral:rRNA from 1 species